AGUAUAAUAAUAAAAAAAAGUGAUUACUUUGGGGGAAAACAUUCCAGAUCCUAAAGUGCUGAAGCUGAGGUGGUUCUGAGACACAUGUUAGUAGGUAACUAAAUCAGAAUGAAAACAUUUAUGAAGAUGACUGUCAUGUUGAAGCAAUUGAGGUGCUGAAAUUCCUUGGUAUCAGGGUCACUUGUGGAGUCAGGGCUCAGGGAUGCUGUGGAUGAAAUAAUGAACGAAAGAAUUUAGAAAUAAGUUUUUGCAUCCAUCCUUAGAAUAACACCCCCUCCUCAUUCUCACACAUUCCCAAGCCAUGGGGUAGGAUUACCGUGACAAAAUGAGUUCCUAGCAAACUCUUUAAAGACUAGAGGAAGGAAAUCUGAAAUAUCUUCUGCCUUCUAUUUAUCAGUUUGGAAAGCUUACAUUUAAAGUAUCUGACUGUAAUGCAGAUUUUAAAUAUAUAAAGUAAAACAGCAGUGUGAGACUCGAGUGCAUAAAGGCAGGACCGAAUUUCAUGAAAAUCAAUUGGGAUGCCUUACUAAGAGCAUAUUGUCUUAACAAUGGAAAGGUCUAAAUUCCAAGCUUCCUUUUCCCAUUUUCUUGUCCUAUGUCCAAAUUAAAGAAAAUCACUUGAUUUUCCUGGGCUGCUUCUUCAUGUGUAACAUGAAGCAUUUGGAAAAGUGUUAAAGAGCCCAUGAGCCUAUGAAUUAUGCGUUGGGUAUUUAUCAGACUUGGAUUAGUGUGUUAUAAGAAACCAACAUGUUUAGGCCGGGUUGAUAGUCUAAAUAUUUACCAACCCUAUAGUAUAAGUACUCACCAAUCAAAAUGGAGGCUUGCUGUAAACAGCCAGUAGCUCUGCCCCUGUGCAUGUUAGGUAAAUAUCAACUACACUUUUGGGAAUGGAACCCUGGAAUCAAAUUGUUGAAGGAGAAAAACCUUAGGAUUCACCAGUCCAUCUUCCUGAUUUUACACACUGUUUCAUCCUCUGUUAAAUAAGAACAUUGUGAUAUUAAAAAAUUGCAGCAAAAGUAUGACACAAAUGCAUGAAGGCUUAGAUACAUGAGUGGAUAUCCCAAUAAAUGUGGUAGAUUAAUAUAAUAAUGGCAUUAAUGAAUCACAGCUCCUUGUAUCUGCACCCUCUAUUAAUCCUCUCUCACGUUAACUCUGGGCUCAGCCAUGUGAGCCCACAUGGUUUUGGUGGUAAUGGGACAUUAGCAAAUGUGACACAAGCAGAGGCUCAACAAAUGCUUGCUCAUUAGUGUUUACCCUAUCUUUUGUUACUUUGGAUCAUAGCCACUAUUAGGAGAAGACUUCUGGCCUCCUGGUGACAUAUGGCCCAACUGACAGCCAGCACCACCCACCAGACUUGUGAGUGAGAGGAUUAGACUAACAAACACCAUUUGAGCUGACAGAUGACUAUGGCAACAUGAGUGACCCCAGGUGACAUCAGAAAAGAUACUAACCAGCUGAGCUCAGCCCAAACUGCUGACCCACAGAAUCAGAGCAAAUUAUUUAGUGGUUACUUAAGCCACUAAAUAUUGGGGUUUGAUUCACCACAACAGAUACUUGACACAAAAAGAGAAGGAUCUAUAAGUUGGGGAGGGACACGCUGAAGGGGAAGUUGAUGUGAGGAAAGAUGGUGGUGAUCUCUUCCACCAUUUUCCUAAUUGAAGUUGGGAUCAAGGAUUUCUGUCUAGUUACUAUGAACAGGUCUCUUGCUUCCCAGAUUGACCAGGGAGCUCCUUCUUAUUCAUCUUUCUGUUCAAGCACACUUAGUUUCAGGAAAAACUCACUGGUUGAGUCCUAAUCACUCUCAGCAAAGAAAUACAGGUGGAAUUUCCUGCUUCUAUUUCCCUUUCAGAAUGUGACAAGGAACAGCUGUUCUGGUCUUUUCUUGUUGAUUCAGCAGCAAAAAUAUUCAUGGAAUACUAUGAGAAUAAACAGAGUUCUUGGGAAAAGAAAUGAAGAAGCUGAUUCUAAUGUUUGCACACAAAUGCAAAAGGCCUGGAAUAAUCAAGUAUACGUUCAAAUCUAGAUGAAUUCAGUGUGAAGGACAGUGGAAAAGGAGACGGUGAAUUGAAUGACAGCCAUUUGGAUAUCAGCAGAGAGAGCUUCAAGAAAACAUUCUAUCAAAUGAUUGUAAAAUAAGGGUUUUAUUUCAGAUUACUCAGGAUAAAAGAUAUUCAAGGAUCCUGAAAAAUUAAACCAGGAAUUUCAAACCAGCAAACAUUUUUCAUCCCAUCAUGAAAGUAGGAACAGGACUGAACUUUCUUCAAGCACCCUUUACACUCACAUUUCCCAGAUGAAAAAUACAAAUUUCCAACCGGAACACUCAGAACUCAAUUGAUGUUAUUUUCAAGUCUGUGCCUCCCAAGUGAAGGGCUGCCAAGUGUCUGUGACAGAGUUCAGAACUGCAGGCCAGCAGUGCCACUUCCGCCUUCUUGGACAGAAUGAUAAAUUAAAUCAUCCUUCAGUGGACAGACCACCUUCACAUACUUCAGAAAUAGCCACUUCAUUCUAAAAUGCUGCAAUUCAUAUAGAUGGUCAUUUCUGUCAAGUGUUUACAAGCCAGGUUACAUGCAUGAGCCUCUUAGUUUUGAUAUACAUUUUCUUAAAUCAGGUUGACAAUCCAUGACACAGCACAGGACGAUUUUAUAGAAUCUAGGAUAUUUUACCAAAAAGUCUUAGAAGUGGUCUUUAUUGCCAUGAAUAUAAUAAAUGAGCAUGUAUUUU